rnacentral:rRNA from 1 species
UUCUAUUAGACCUAAUUAAUAGUAAAAUCUGCUCAAUGAUAAUUAAAUAGCCGCAAUUCGUGCUAAGGUAGCAUAAUCAUUUGUCUUUUAAUUAAAGACUAGAACAAAAGAUUUAACAUUUCAAUUUAUUUCUAAAAUUAUAAAUUUAAACUAUUUUAAUUGUAAAAAAACAAUUAUUAAUAAAAAAGACGACAAGACCCUAUUGAACUUCACUUUAGUUAAACUGGGGCAGUUAAUUAAAUAUAACUUUAAAUAAAAUAAAACACCAUAAGACCUAAUAAUAUUAAUUUAAAAAUUAAGUUACCUUAGGGAUAACAGCGUAAUAAACUUUUAAAGCUCUUAUUUAAAAGAAAGAUUGCGACCUCGAUGUUGAAUAAUUUUUCCAAUUAACGCAAUAGUAAAUUGAGAAAGUCUGUUCGACUUUUAAAAAAUUACA